rnacentral:rRNA from 1 species
CCUACGGGUGGCAGCAGUCGGGAAUAUUGCACAAUGGAGGAAACUCUGACGCAGCGACGCCGCGUGCGUGAAGAAGUUAUUCGUUUUGUAAACCUCUUUAAGCAGGGAAGAAAAUGACCGUACCCGAGUAAGUAGCCCCCGCUAACCAAGUGCCAGCCGCCGGGGUAAUACGUAGGGGGCAAGCGUUAUCCGGAUUUACUGGGUGUUAAGGGGGCGUUGACGGGAAGUCAAGUCUGGUGUGAAAGUCGGGGGCUCAACCUACGGACUGGACAGAAAACUAUACGGCUGGAGUGCAGGAGAGGUAAGUGGAAUUCCUAGUGUAGCGGUGAAAUGCGUAGAUAUUAGGAGGAACACCAGUGGCGAAGGCGACUUACUGGACUGUAACUGACGUUGAGGCACGAAAGCGUGGGGAGCAAACAGGAUUAGAUACCCCAGUAGUC